CCUACGGGGGGCUGCAGUGAGGAAUAUUGGUCAAUGGACGGAAGUCUGAACCAGCCAUGCCGCGUGCAGGAUGACGGCUCUAUGAGUUGUAAACUGCUUUUGUACGAGAAUAAUAGUUCUUACGUGUAGGGCUUUGAAUGUAUCGUACGAAUAAGGAUCGGCUAACCCCGUGCCAGCAGCCGCGGUAAUACUGGGGAUUCAUGCGGUAUCCGGAAUUAUUGGGUUGAAAGGGCGCGUAGGCUGUCGGAUAAGUUAGAGGUCAAAUGGCGGGGCUUAACCCCGGGCCGGCCUAUGAUACUGUUCGACUAGAGAGCGGAUGCAGCAGGCGGAAUGAGUAGUGUAGCAGUGAAAUGCGUAGAUAUUGCUCAGAACACCGAUGGCGCAGGCAGCUUGCUAAGCCGCAUCUGACGCUGAUGCACGAAGGCGUGGGUAGCGAACAGGAUUAGAUACCCGGGUAGUC
rnacentral:rRNA from 1 species